rnacentral:rRNA from 1 species
AGCUUCAGUAGCGUAUAUUAAAAUUGUUGCAUUUAAAAAGCUCGUAGUUGGUGUUUCCUCCACCACUCGUAAGCUGUUUGCAGCAUUGCAGUGGGAGGUGGGAUACUCGGUUUCUGACCGUUGACACUGUGAGUAAAUUAGAGUGAUCCAAACAGGUUGUGCUUGAAUGUUUCAGCAUGGUAUGGGUCCCUGACUAUGUAAAAGUACUUAUACGUUUACAUUGUAAUGGUUAAUAGAGACUGAUGAUGGAAUUCGUAUUGAGUUGUUAGAGGUGAAAUUCUUGGACCAACUCAAGACGGCCUGAAGCGAAAGCUUUUUCCACAGAUGUACUUU